rnacentral:rRNA from 1 species
UACGGGGGGGGCAAGCGUUGUUCGGAAUUACUGGGCGUAAAGCGUGCGCAGGCGGUUCUGAAAGUCAGCUGUGAAAGCCCCGGGCUUAACCUGGGAAUGGCGGUUGAAACUACAGGACUAGAAUCUGGCAGAGGGGGGUGGAAUUCCACGUGUAGCAGUGAAAUGCGUAGAGAUGUGGAGGAACACCGAUGGCGAAGGCAGCCCCCUGGGCUGAGAUUGACGCUCAGGCACGAAAGCGUGGGGAGCAAACAGG